GAUCCUGGCUCAGGACGAACGCUGGCGGCGUGCCUAACACAUGCAAGUCGAACGGAACUCUUUGGAACAAGGCUUCGGCCAAGGGAAACUGAGUUUAGUGGCGAACGGGUGAGUAACGCGUGAACAAUCUGCCUUUCAGAGGGGGGACAACAGUUGGAAACGACUGCUAAUACCGCAUAAUGUACCGAGAGGGCAUCCUCAUGGUACCAAAGAUUUAUCGCUGAGAGAUGAGUUCGCGU
rnacentral:rRNA from 1 species